rnacentral:rRNA from 1 species
CCUACGGGGGGCAGCAGUGGGGAAUAUUGCACAAUGGGGGAAACCCUGAUGCAGCGACGCCACGUGAGUGAAGAAGUAUUUCGGUACGUAAAGCUCUAUCAGCAGGGAAGAAAAUGACGGUACCUGACUAAGAAGCCCCGGCUAACUACGUGCCAGCAGCCGCGGUAAUACGUAGGGGGCAAGCGUUAUCCGGAUUUACUGGGUGUAAAGGGAGCGUAGACGGCAGCGAAAGUCUGGAGUGAAAUCCCAUGGCUUAACCAUGGAACUGCUUUGGAAACUGUGCAGCUAGAGUGCAGGAGAGGUAAGCGGAAUUCCGAGUGUAGCGGUGAAAUGCGUAGAUAUUAGGAGGAACACCAGUGGCGAAGGCGGCUUACUGGACUGUAACUGACGUUGAGGCUCGAAAGCGUGGGGAGCAAACAGGAUUAGAUACCCUGGUAGUC